GGUUAAAUAACUGAUGCUUUGUAACUUUUUAAACGUGAAUUUGAAUGAUAUUUAAAAAUAUAUAACAAUUUUUGUAAGAUAAAAUUACGUGUACAUACAUCAGAUUCAUUUAUACUACAGAAAGUAUAAUAUGUCGUACGAAUAGUAUAUAUCAUACGAUCCUUGUCAGUCAUUAUGGUCGUCUGCUAUACUCUGAAGUAAUUUCAGUAGUGAGGUUUCAGCUAGAUUAAACGUGGUUCGUUAAGCUGCUGUAAAAAUUGAAAGAGAAAAUGGUAGUGGGUGUCUUUCCGGCCCUUAAAUUGGGAGUAUUGUUUGUUAAACAAAUCAGUAAACCUUUAGCAAAGUUUCUAGUUAAUCAAGCAAAAAAUCAUCCUGUAUUUAGAAACUACAUUAUCAUACCUCCUGCACAAUUUUAUCAUUGGGCAGAGGUAAAAACUAAAAUGUAUAUAAUGAACCUUGGUAAGCCUACCAAAGUUGCAAAAUUGAACGAAGCUAUGGCAAUAGAGUUAGGAGCAAAUUUGAUAGGUGAGGUUAUUAUAUUUAGCGUCGCCGGCGGUUGUCUAAUAUUGGAAUACAAUCGCCAAGUAGCAAAGGAAACAAAAAAAGAAGAAAUACGUCUUGUACAGAUAGAAAAGUUUACAAAUGACAUUGAGAAUUUAAAUAAAAUUACAUCUCAACAAGAGGCUGAAAUUCAAUAUCUACUAGAAGCUAUUAAAUCAUUAUCUAAACAAACAAAACAUAAAUUGCCUACCAACCCGAUAGUAACAGAGUUAAAUGAACAGAAAGAGAAACUUCACACGGAUAAAAUACUUGGUACAGAUAUGAAUAUGGAAACAAAUAUAGAACAGCGCAAUAGAGAAAAUGGAAAUCAGUCGCUGGUCGAACGUGCUAUAAUAUAUUACCAACAUGACGUCAAAGCAGAUAAACUCAGUUAACUUAAAUUAUUUUAUUAGUAAAUACGAUAGAGCGGACAUAACAUUAUUAAUAUUUAUAAUGCUGCAGUGUACAUAAAAAAUAUUUUCCUUAAUACAUACAGUGCAAGACUUUGUACAUAAGUAAGGGAUAUAUUCUAACAUUUACGAAUACCUGGCGAUAAACUAGAUUUCGAAGUUUUAACGUGACUAGAAAUGGAAGAAGAUCGACUUCUGCUUUGUCUACCAUUCGAAUAAUUCGAUCUUGUAGAAGAGGAACGGUUAUAACGUUUUAACGACGGGCUACCAUCUCCAGGUUUUCUGCCAGCAGAUUCAGUUUUUAUUUUGAAUACAUAUAUGUGUGUGAUAAAGAGAUAUUUAACAGAUUUCUUAUGCUACGAUUUUACAAAAUCUGUUGCGUUAUACUUACCUAUCAAAUUCUACUGUAUACGUUAAUAUAAGGUAUCUACGAUUGUUUGUUGCGUUACCGAAACUUGAACACGAAUUACGUUCAAGCCUACGUGCACGUAACAAUUCUAAAUCUUCAAAUGUGAGAAGGUCCAAGGUAAUAGAUUCACUCGUCUGCAAUUAACUUCUUUUUAAAUUUCGUUUACUUUGUUUAAAGAUUCGAGUCGUAAAUUAUACUUUUAACAAUCCAGAUUGCAGCAUAGCCACGAAUACAUCAAAAUGCUUGUAAUUUCCAGUUUUGUGAGUUAAGUUCUCAACAUCUUGAAAAGUUCAUAAAACGUAUCGUUAACAGCUCAAUAUAAACGUAUAGAGAAAGAUAAAAGUUAAAUAACGAAAAUUAACAUAACCCUAAAAUAAUAUGCAUUAAUUACGACGGGUAAAAAAGUUAAAGAACGAACAUGCAGCGUCGUAUGAGGACUGCCAAUUCUCGCCAGUAUAUUUGUCAGUAACGGUCACCUCCAAAUUUCGCUGGUAUUCCUUAAAAGCAGUGACUUUUAUCUUUACAACGUAUUCUUUACC